UACGAAGGGGGCUAGCGUUGCUCGGAUUGACUGGGCGUAAAGGGCGCGUAGGCGGUUCGUACAGUCAGACGUGAAAUUCCUGGGCUCAACCUGGGGGCUGCGUUUGAUACGUGCGGACUUGAGUGCGGAAGAGGGUCGUGGAAUUCCCAGUGUAGAGGUGAAAUUCGUAGAUAUUGGGAAGAACACCGGUGGCGAAGGCGGCGACCUGGUCCGAUACUGACGCUGAGGUGCGAAGGCCAGGGGAGCGAACGGG
rnacentral:rRNA from 1 species